rnacentral:rRNA from 1 species
GACAGAGGGUGCUAGCGUUGUUCGGAAUGACUGGGCGUAAAGGGCGCGUAGGCGGCCAAUCAAGUCAGAUGUGAAAGCCCCGGGCUUAACCUGGGAUGUGCAUUUGAUACUGGUGGGCUGGAGUACGAGAGAGGAAAGUGGAAUUCCUAGUGUAGAGGUGAAAUUCGUAGAUAUUCGGAGGAACACCAGUGGCGAAGGCGGCUCGCUGGCUCGAUACUGACGCUGAGGUGCGAAAGCGUGGGGAGCAAACAGG